UACGUAGGGUCCGAGCGUUAAUCGGAAUUACUGGGCGUAAAGCGUGCGCAGGCGGUUUUGUAAGCCAGAUGUGAAAUCCCCGGGCUUAACCUGGGAAUGGCAUUUGGGACUGCAAGGCUUGAGUGCGGCAGAGGAGACUGGAAUUCCUGGUGUGGCAGUGAAAUGCGUAGAUAUCAGGAGGAACACCGAUGGCGAAGGCAGGUCUCUGGGCUGACACUGACGCUCAUGCACGAAAGCGUGGGGAGCAAACAGG
rnacentral:rRNA from 1 species